UACGGAGGGUGCGAGCGUUGUUCGGAAUUAUUGGGCGUAAAGCGCGCGUAGGUGGUGGCUUAAGUCUACCUGUGAAAUGCCGGGGCUCAACCCCGUGCGUGCAGGAGAUACUGGGUCGCUGGAGACAGGGAGAGGCAGGCGGAAUUCCGGGUGUAGCGGUGGAAUGCGUAGAGAUCCGGAAGAACACCAGAGGCGAAGGCGGCCUGCUGGCCCUGUUCUGACACUGAGGUGCGAAAGCGUGGGGAGCAAACAGGAUUAGAUACCCCGUGUAGUCC
rnacentral:rRNA from 1 species